rnacentral:lncRNA from 1 species
CUAACACCUCGUAGAAUCUUUUGUUUAGUAGUGAAAAUGCGUCAAAAAAACAUAACUAACGCCAAACCAAAAUGUCAAACUAGUACACCAAAAUGUUAUGAUCAAAUGUUGAUGUCACAACCAAACUGUGGUAUUGGAAACAAUUUGAAACCACUAGUCCUGCUAUGGUGUGUGCUACUUGUUGGUCUCUAUGGCUACGUAAAUAUGAUUUGGUUGCAAGCGCGUCUCAGCAGUUGGUAUAGGUAGCUAGCGUGUUUUUUUCCCCACAUAUAUGAGUGGUAGUUAGUCAUUUGCAUGCCUAUGCUUUCUUAAAUGUUUGUAGGAUGUGUACAUCCUGAUAUGCACAGGUUUAAACUGUGUCCAAGAUUUUAAUAUCAACUCAACAUAAUGAUCUUAAAUAUUAAUAGAAUUUUUAUCUAUCAAAAAAGAAACAAAUGAUCCAACUUAAUUUUUUGAGAACGUGCGGAGCGUGUAUUUUGUUAAGGAAAAGGAAGUGCGAUAAAAGAUGAAGUAAUCAUAACAAAAAAAAAAGUUGAACAGAAUGGGACGAUAAGCCCGAUAAGAAAAAACAAAAAUGAAACAUGGGAAGGGGGAGAUGAGGGGCCUCAUGAAUCAAAGUGUAGUCCACUAGAGCCAGAAGAGCCCGAAUCAUGACAUUGUGAAUGCUUCACUUACUGGCUUUCCUAAAAAUUUAUAUAUCAUUGUAAAAUCAACCUCCGCUAAAAGUAUAGAUGGUUGUAUUAAGUCAACCUCCCCUAAAAAUAUAGAUGGUUGUGUUAAGUCAACCUUCUCUAAAAAUAUAGAGACGAUUGUAAAGUAGAUUGAUAUUUUAGAGGACGGUUCUAUUAAGUCAAUCUCUCCUAAAAUUAUAGACAUUUUCUAGCUCUUCUAUAAGAAAACCGUGCACCCCU